rnacentral:rRNA from 1 species
CCUACGGGUGGCAGCAGUGAGGAAUAUUGGUCAAUGGACGGAAGUCUGAACCAGCCAUGCCGCGUGCAGGAAGACGGCUCUAUGAGUUGUAAACUGCUUUUGUACAAGGGAAAACCUGAAUACGUGUAUUCAGCUGAAAGUACUGUACGAAUAAGGAUCGGCCAACUCCGUGCCAGCAGCCGCCGUAAUACGGAGGAUCCAAGCGUUAUCCGGAUGUAUUGGGUGUAAAGGGUGGGUAGGCGGAUUGAUAAGUUAGAGGUGAAAUGUCCGGGCUUAACUAGGGAACUGCCUCGAAUACUGUUGAUCUAGAGAGUAGGUGCGGUAGGCGGAAUGUAUGGUGUAGCGGUGAAAUGCGUAGAGAUGAGACAGAAAACCGAUUGCGAAGGCAGCUUACCAAUCUAUAUCUGACGUUGAGGCACGAAAGCGUGGGGAGCAAACAGGAUUAGAUACCCGGGUAGUC